GAUGAACGCGGCGGCGUGCUUAACACAUGCAAGUCGAACGGGAUCCCGGGGGUUCGCUUCCGGGUGAGAGUGGCGAACGGGUGAGUAAUGCGUGACCGACCUGCCCCAUACACCGGAAUAGCUCCUGGAAACGGGUGGUAAUGCCGGAUGCUCCGGUUGGAUGCAUGUCCUUCCGGGAAAGAUUCUAUCGGUAUGGGAUGGGGUCGCGUCCUAUCAGCUUGAUGGCGGGGUAACGGCCCACCAUGGCUUCGACGGGUAGCCGGCCUGAGAGGGCGACCGGCCACAUUGGGACUGAGAUACGGCCCAGACUCCUACGGGAGGCAGCAGUGGGGAAUAUUGCACAAUGGGCGCAAGCCUGAUGCAGCGACGCCGCGUGCGGGAUGGAGGCCUUCGGGUUGUAAACCGCUUUUGAUCGGGAGCAAGCCCUUCGGG
rnacentral:rRNA from 1 species